GAGAGCCGAAUGCGGGAGAUCCGCCAGUCCGGUUCGGAGGGAGGGGGAGGCGGUGCCUCUCCCUACCCCUAU
rnacentral:ncRNA from 1 species